rnacentral:rRNA from 1 species
CAGCAGCCGCGGGAAUACGAAGGGGGCUAGCGUUGCUCGGAAUGACUGGGCGUAAAGGGCGCGUAGGCGAAAUGCUUUGUCGGGCGUGAAAUUCCAGGGCUUAACCUUGGGGCUGCGUUCGAGACGGGUAUUCUAGAGUGGAGAAGAGGGUCGUGGAAUUCCCAGUGUAGAGGUGAAAUUCGUAGAUAUUGGGAAGAACACCGGUGGCGAAGGCGGCGACCUGGUCUUUUACUGACGCUGAGGCGCGAAAGCGUGGGGAGCAAACAGGAUUAGAGACCCCAGUAGUCCCUGUCUCUUAUAC